CCCACCACAUGGUCUUUCUCUUUUGGCAACAAAAAAAAAAUGGUAAACCCUCACAAGAAUCCAAAGAAACAAAGCACAGGUGACGUGAUACACAAUUUGGGCAACCUCUCCCCUUCACGCCCACUGUUCCAGAAUUUCUCCUCCCAAAUCAUACAAUGAUCUGAACCAUGAAGAAGAAGCCAAAAUCCCUCCUCUGCACCCAUUAACCAAAGCGCUCAAACCUGUCACUUUCUCAAAACCUCUUCUCCCAAUUUUUUCCCAAAUCGUGAUUACCAACACAGAGGUUCCAGGCUGGAAUACAAGAGUUGUGAGAUUUUGUUGAAUUCAAAGUUGGAUCCUUUAUUGCUGGAGAAAAGCAGACAAACAGAGUUUUAAGCAUCAAGUAUGAAAGAGUUCAAAUAAAUGAUGUUGGAGAGUCGAUCAAAUUGAAGGUCUGCUUUAAUUAGUAGCUACAAAUAGUGGCUCAUGGAUUCCUUUUCAUUCACUGGAUUUGUAGUGUUUCAUUGGAAUAGUCUUGGCCAAAGUUUUACUGUUCUUAUUUUUGAAACCGUUUAUUAGUUUGAAGGUUGAAGUUGGAUUUUGAGCUUAUAGCUUGCUAACCGAAGACUAGAUCAUGAUACUAUCAAACAAUAAUGACUAUAGGCAAGAUAUAUAGAUAGAUGCAUCUUUCAAUAUAAGAGACUUUUCUUGGUUAAUCGAUGUUAGGAAGAAUCUCAAUGCUAGCUAAUGGCAAUCUAUCAUAAUCCAUUUACUUGAUAUUUCAUUGUUAUUCAAGUGCAUUGAAACUUUUUUAGCCA